rnacentral:rRNA from 1 species
UUAAGAAUCUUGCACAAUGGGCGCAAGCCUGAUGCAGCGACGCCGCGUGGAUGAUGAAGGCCUUCGGGUUGUAAAGUCCGGUAAGCAGGGAAGAAUAAGUGGGGGGUAAUAUUCCUCAUGAUGACGGUACCUGCCUAAAGCCCCGGCUAACUACGUGCCAGCAGCCGCGGUAAUACGUAUGGGGCGAGCGUUGUUCGGAAUUAUUGGGCGUAAAGGGCGUCUAGGCGGGGAUUUAAGUUAGGUGUGAAAGCUAUGGGCUCAACCCAUAAACUGCACCUAAAACUGGAUCUUUUGAGUUCGGGAGAGGAGAGCGGAAUUCCAGGUGUAGCGGUGAAAUGCGUAGAUAUCUGGAAGAACACCAGUGGCGAAGGCGGCUCUGUGGCCUAGGACUGGCGCUGAAGCGCGAAAGCGUGGGGAGCGAACA